CACGGACCGCACGAACGUUAUUCGGUAUCACUGGGCUUAAAGGGUGCGUAGGCGGCUUUGCAAGUUGGGUGUGAAAGCCCUCGGCUCAACCGAGGAAUUGCGCUCAAUACUGCCGAGCUCGAGAGAGACAGAGGUAAGCGGAACUGAUGGUGGAGCGGUGAAAUGCGUUGAUAUCAUCAGGAACACCGGUGGCGAAGGCGGCUUACUGGGUCUUUUCUGACGCUGAGGCACGAAAGCCAGGGGAGCGAACGGGAUUAGAAACCCCAGUAGUCC
rnacentral:rRNA from 1 species